GAUCCUGGCUCAUAUUGAACGCUGGCGGCAUGCUUUACACAUGCAAGUCGGACGGCAGCAUAGAGAAGCUUGCUUCUUGGGUGGCGAGUGGCGAACGGGUGAGUAAUAUAUCGGAACGUACCGAGUAAUGGGGGAUAACUAUUCGAAAGAUUAGCUAAUACCGCAUAUUCUCUGAGGAGGAAAGCAGGGGACCUUCGGGCCUUGCGUUAUUCGAGCGGCCGAUAUCUGAUUAG
rnacentral:rRNA from 1 species